rnacentral:rRNA from 1 species
UACGUAGGGUGCGAGCGUUGUCCGGAAUUAUUGGGCGUAAAGAGCUUGUAGGCGGUCUGUCGCGUCUGCUGUGAAAAUCCGGGGCUCAACCCCGGACUUGCAGUGGGUACGGGCAGACUAGAGUGUGGUAGGGGAGACUGGAAUUCCUGGUGUAGCGGUGAAAUGCGCAGAUAUCAGGAGGAACACCGAUGGCGAAGGCAGGUCCCUGGGCCACUACUGACGCUGAGAAGCGAAAGCAUGGGGAGCGAACAGG